rnacentral:rRNA from 1 species
AUGAACGCUAGCUACAGGCUUAACACAUGCAAGUCGAGGGGCAUCAGUUUGGUUUGCUUGCAAACCAAAGCUGGCGACCGGCGCACGGGUGAGUAACACGUAUCCAACCUGCCUCAUACUCGGGGAUAGCCUUUCGAAAGAAAGAUUAAUAUCCGAUAGCAUAUAUUUCCCGCAUGGGUUUUAUAUUAAAGAAAUUCGGUAUGAGAUGGGGAUGCGUUCCAUUAGUUUGUUGGCGGGGUAACGGCCCACCAAGACUACGAUGGAUAGGGGUUCUGAGAGGAAGGUCCCCCACAUUGGAACUGAGACACGGUCCAAACUCCUACGGGAGGCAGCAGUGAGGAAUAUUGGUCAAUGGACGCGAGUCUGAACCAGCCAAGUAGCGUGAAGGAUGACUGCCCUAUGGGUUGUAAACUUCUUUUAUAUGGGAAUAAAGUGGUCCACGUGUGGAUUUUUGUAUGUACCAUAUGAAUAAGGAUCGGCUAACUCCGUGCCAGCAGCCGCGGUAAUACGGAGGAUCCGAGCGUUAUCCGGAUUUAUUGGGUUUAAAGGGAGCGUAGGCGGAUUGUUAAGUCAGUUGUGAAAGUUUGCGGCUCAACCGUAAAAUUGCAGUUGAUACUGGCAGUCUUGAGUGCAGUAGAGGUGGGCGGAAUUCGUGGUGUAGCGGUGAAAUGCUUAGAUAUCACGAAGAACUCCGAUUGCGAAGGCAGCUCACUGGAGUGUAACUGACGCUGAUG